GCAUAAAUACAGAGGCACGCACAGCCGAAUUCCUCACAGCAGCGCCGCCACAGGUAAUAUCUGAGUUGUUCAUGGCAAUACUUCCCCUCUUCUCUUCUCUUGUUUAUGGUUGUGUGGUUCAAUUCGUAUCUCACUCGAGCCCCUUGAUGAGUCGAUCCCUCAGUAUAAUUUCUCCGGGGCUCGAAUUUUCCAAGGGGGCCAGACUGUAUGGGGAUCUUGAGUCGCUUCGCCUACUUAUUAUCGUGAGGCGCAGCGAAUAACAUUCUCCAAAAUUGCCCCACCGAUCAUCCCAUCCCAUACUUAUGGUUUUUGAUCUUUUAGUUUGCUUGUUUCUUAUUUUGGCGGACCAGUUCUGUUAGCCCAGUGAUGGCACAUCUUUGAGACCUGAGAAUUUUCUUCCUAGAUGAAAAUCAUAAGCAUAAUCGCUGAGGGCUACAGACUCAACCGCUUUGUUUCCUACCUUUUUACUGCUAGUCUUGGCAUGGAUGAGGAUAUGCACUGGGCUCCGAGCAGCGAACGUCUGCGUUCUGAUGGAGAUGCGUUUGCCUAGAAAGCAUUGUCCGACAUCUCUUUGAACGCUUUCUCUUUUCUGUUCUCGCUACUAUCUAGGGCUGCAUUGUACCAAGGCUUGGGUUCUUUGUACUCUCGUCUUGCUCGCCAGAUUCGGCUGUAGUCAAACCAACAUGGAAGGAAAUCUGGUCGGCCUGCCCAUCUCAAUGGGCAACCCGCUUACCAACCUUCAUAUAUCUCUUCACAGUACUAAAUCUGUUCUUUCCAUCUUUUUAAGAAUAUUAUGCGAGUGGGCAGUGGAGGGGAGUGGUGCAAUCCAUUCCUAAGCAGGCUCUCUCGGAAAACAAGACCCGACUGUCUUCCUCCGUUUGUGAUUUGUAAUGAACCUGCGUCUCCUUUUGGUUGUUUCAAAUCCUGCGAGGAAGAUCGUCCGGUGGUUCAUCAUACAGGCAGCCUGUUGCGAAAGUCUCAGUCUGCGUCACUGAUGUAUACAUUUCUCUUUCUUUUGCAUCAAAUCGUUCAAUGAGAAACCGGAUACAAACUUAUCUGUUGUAAACUUAUAUAAAAUAAUGCCAAUUGAAGAAUUAUUGACUGAAAUUUAUACGACAUAAAUCAUGGUGGGCAAAAAGCUUGUAAGAACUGGGACGAAGCUAAGAAAGAGCAAUGUGGUGCAGAGAUAAAUGGGCCUUUUCGUCCAGUUAAUUGGACAGAUGUUGGUCUACGUGGUAAACUUUGGUGGUGUUGUCAACACGUCUUUUGGCUUUUCAUUUGCCCGCGACAAAAGUGUCAGGGCAGUAUUCUUAACAAAUAUGAUUACGAUCGCAAGCGAUGCAGUUUUGGAGGAAGAUUGGGACAUAGUUAAUACACAAGCACCUCCUAAUUUCGUUAGCCUGACGGGAACAACUAUGAGCCACUUUAUUGGCCUCUUGUUUUACACAAAAUAAAAUUAGUGAAAAAAAUUGCAAACUCACAAAUAAAACAGUUUGACCAUCAAGCAUUAUGUUGGAUCACUAGGAGCAGUUGUAAUUUUACAGCAACUUUUUCAUGAGAAUGGCGUUUUGGAGGCUGAGCUUUUGGAGGCUGAGCUCAAUGGAGGCCUUUAUUUAAAAAAAACAAAUUCAAACUUUUACGAAAAGUCAACGCCCACACGUGUGGGCGUUUGCAAGAUCAUCUGUGUGCGAGCGCAUGAAUCUUGACGUGUUUCUAGUGCCACGUAGGACUGGGUUGGUGUGUGGGCAUUCAUCCGGUCGCCCACACAGCCGUUUCACCACAUGGGAGGGGCUAGUGUGUGGGCGUUCAACGGUUUGCCCACACGCCACUUUCCACUCACGCACAAGGGCUGGUGUGUGCGCAUUUGCCAUCUCGCCCCACUUGCCAUAUGUUUUGCAGUGUACAUGGCAACUGCCGUAGUGUGCUUUAUAAGCAGGUGGCAACUCUUUUUUUUACCCGAACAUGUCAGUUGCCAUGUAUUUUGAAGGGUACACGACAACUGCCCUAGCGUGCAUGUAAACAGAUGGCAACUCUUUUG
rnacentral:lncRNA from 1 species